rnacentral:rRNA from 1 species
GAUGAACGCUGGCGGCGUGCCUAACACAUGCAAGUCGAACGAAGCGCCUUUUAAGAUACUUCGGAUGAUUGAUCGGUGACUGAGUGGCGGACGGGUGAGUAACGCGUGGGCAACCUGCCCUGUACCGGGGGAUAACAGAUGGAAACGGCUGCUCAUACCGCAUAAGCGCACGCGAGGACAUCCUCUUGUGUUAAAAACUCCGGUGGUACAGGAUAGGACCGCGUCUGAUUAGCUGGGUGGCAGGGUAACGGACUACCAAGGCGACGAUCAGUAGCGGGUCUGAUAGGAUGAACGGCCACAUUGGAGAUGAGACACGGUGCAAACUGCUACGGUAGGCAGCAGUGGGGAAUAUUGCACAAUGGGGGAAACCCUGAUGCAGCAACGCCGCGUGAGUGAAGAAGUAUUUCGGUAUGUAAAGCUCUAUCAGCAGGGAAGAUAAUGACGGCACCUGACUAAGAAGCUCCGGCUUAAUACGUGCCAGCAGCCGCGGUAA